rnacentral:rRNA from 1 species
UACGAAGGGGGCUAGCGUUGUUCGGAAUUACUGGGMGUAAAGCGCGCGCAGGCGGUCUAUCCRAGUCAGUGGUGAAAGCCCGGAGCUCAACUCCGGAACUGCCAUUGAAACUGUUUAGACUUGAGKAYGAGAGAGGUGAGUGGAAUUCCCAGUGUAGAGGUGAAAUUCGUAGAUAUUGGGAAGAACACCGGUGGCGAAGGCGGCUCACUGGCUCRUUWCUGACGCUCAGGCGCGACAGCGUGGGGAUCAAACAGGAUUAGAUACCCUGGUAGUCCACGCCGUAAACGAUGAWUGCUAGCCGUUGGGCAGCUUGCUGUUCAGUGGCGCAGCUAACGCAUUAAGCAWUCCGCCUGGGGAGUACGGCCGCAAGGUUGAAACUCAAAG